UCUGAUCAUGUUCAUACAAAAAAAAUUGCAUCUGACAAAAAAAUCAAAAAAAUUCUUCAUCGACACUUUCUCUCUUUCACUCUCAAUUCUGCCACCUUCAUAUUAGUUCAAAUCCAAAUCAAAUGGUAAUCGCUCAGAUCUUCUCUUGUUUUCUUUUAAUUGCUUGUUUGUGUGUUGAUUUGGAAUGAAAAUGAGAACAUGGUUCGUAGAAGAAACUUGCGAAUCCAAUGAGAGAGAUUAAAGUGCAGAAACUCGUUCUCAACACCUCCAUGGGUGAGAGUGGAGAUCGUCUCACAAGGGAUGCUAAGGUGCUAGAGCAACUUGAAGGCAACCACCUCUCUUCCGUAGCAAUCCUCAGCCAAGACGACAGUGUUUGGGUUCAGCUCUAAUUUUUCUCAGAUCUGAAAUAGUUUUACAAAAUCAAAAGGCUCCAGCAUUUCAAUUUCAAAUUCAAACAUCACAAAACAAGAAUGAAGAUUGCUACUUAUUCUGUCCUUUUCAUGGUCAACUUUGUCCCUCAAUCUCAUCUCAAGCAUCUCACUCCCGGAGAUGGGCGGAGAUUGACAACGAGUGCUAGGCUGAACGGUGACGGCGACGGCGACGGUGAAGACCAGAGAAGAGUGGAGUAGGUGAUGGUGACUCUAUGAAAAAAAUAAGACCAGAGUGCUGGGCUGGACAACGACGGUGAAGACUGAGACCAGAGGAGAGUGGAGUAGGUGGUGGUGGCUGCGGGGCUGCAGGAGGCUUGGGGGUGCUAGAGUUCUUUGUCCCCUUUUCACUUUUCAGUUUCUGAGAGGAGGGAAUUUUAAGAUUCAUGAUAAACAAAGCAAUUUUUUAGUGUAUAUGAAUAAUGAAAUGUAUUUUGGUUUCGAUUUUUAAAUUGAUUCAGAUUUAAAAUUAUAAAACUA